UACGUAGGGUGCGAGCGUUAAUCGGAAUUACUGGGCGCAAAGCGUGCGCAGGCGGCGGCUCAAGUCAGGUGUGAAAUCCCCGGGCUCAACCUGGGAAUUGCAUCUGUGACUGCAUAGCUAGAGUACGGUAGAGGGGGAUGGAAUUCCGCGUGUAGCAGUGAAAUGCGUAGAUAUGCGGAGGAACACCGAUGGCGAAGGCAAUCCCCCUGGACCUGUAUUGACGCUCAUGCACGAAAGCGUGGGGAGCAAACAGG
rnacentral:rRNA from 1 species